GCAUCGAUGAAGAACGCAGCGAAAUGCGAUAAGUAAUGCGAAUUGCAGAAUUCAGUGAGUCAUCGAAUCUUUGAACGCAUAUUGCGCCCUUUGGUAUUCCGAAGGGCAUGCCUGUUCGAGCGUCAUUAUCAAAGUAUCAAGCUUGGCUUGUUGUUGGGCCCUUUAUCACCUGGUGAUAGGUCCAAAAGAGAAUGAGCGGUGUUGUAAGGACCCUGUAUGCAAUGAGCUUCUAACAGCAUGCAUCGAGUGGUUGUACAGCCCGGUCUAUCCCCCUAUUUCUCAAGGUUGACCUCGGAUCAGGUAGGAAUACCCGCUGAACUUAAGCAUAUCAAUAAGCGGAGGAUG
rnacentral:misc_RNA from 1 species